GUUGUACUCCCUCCGUCUUAAAAUUCUUGUCUUAGAUUUGUCUAAAUACGGAUGUAUCAAGUCAUGUUUGAAUAUUAGAUACAUCUGUAUCUAGACAAAUCUAAGACAAGCAUUUUCGGACGGAGGGAGCAGUAU
rfam:Triticum aestivum genome assembly, contig: Triticum_aestivum_CS42_TGACv1_scaffold_081449_1DS